rnacentral:lncRNA from 1 species
GCAGUGAUGCGAUCCUCCAAUCCCCAUUGAACCGGCAUUUUCUGGAGGAGUUUCUCCACGCUUUGUUUUUUCGGGUUCAGGAUCUUUCCGAUCAGAGACAGCUUGAACUCAUUAAUGUUUUGGGAGACAUCAUGAUCCGUUAACUUGAUCGGUUCAUCAUCAUCCUCAUAGAGGAUUCCCUUGCCUUUGAUAUCAGCCAUAUGGGCUGAAGUGGAAUGGUACGAAGAUCCCAUUCGAG